rnacentral:lncRNA from 1 species
GGAACAGUCUACGAAAGAGCUCGGGGCGGAAGGGACCCGGGUAGGGUUGAAGAACUGACCGAUGCUGGUUACAUGCGCGGUGGGGUGGGAGGACCGAGAUCCCGGGCUCUGCCAGGGGCUGGAACAUGUGGGCCUUGCAGGUAGAAGAGGAAUUUCUAUUUAUCUUUUUUCUCAUCUGAUUCUACUUCGUGACUGGAGAAUGUUAUAGUUGCUAUCCAGAUGGCCCCCAAAACCUCAUGGGAUCAAAGG